AAGGAAUAUUGGACAAUGGGCGGAAGCCUGAUCCAGCCAUCCCGCGUGCAGGAUGAAGGCCCUAGUGGUUGUAAACUGCUUUUAUUUGGGAAGAAAUCUGUCUAUUUAUAGGCAGUUGACGGUACCAUAUGAAUAAGCACCGGCUAACUCCGUGCCAGCAGCCGCGGUAAUACGGAGGGUGCAAGCGUUAUCCGGAAUCACUGGGUUUAAAGGGUGCGUAGGCGGCCUGACAAGUCAGGGGUGAAAUGUCGUCGCUUAACGAUGAAAUUGCCUUUGAUACUGUUGGGCUUGAAACAGGUUGAGGUUGGCAGAAUGUGGCAUGUAGCGGUGAAAUGCAUAGAUAUGACAUAGAAUACCGAUUGCGUAGGCAGCUGGCUGGACCUGGAUUGACGCUGAGGCACGAAAGCGUGGGGAGCAAAC
rnacentral:rRNA from 1 species